ensembl:lncRNA
AAUAUAAACACUUUCUUUUGUCUUUCCUUUAUUUUUUUUCCCCUUUACCCAUUGUACUGCCUCCUAUUUCACUGUCUGCUGUCUACCAGCGCCUAAGGAAACUGUGAUUGGUAAUUACUGGUGCCUGGGGCUGCCCAGCCUGCAACAAAAUUGCUCAGUGUGAAAGGUAAUAUGCAAGAAGGUUUUUUUCUUUUUUCUUUUUCUCUUCUCUUCUCUUCUCUUCUCUUCUCUUCUCUUCUCUUCUCUUCUCUUCUCUUCUCUUCUCUUCUCUUCUCUUCUCUUCUCUUCUCUUCUCUUCUCUUCUCUUCUCUUUUCUCUCUCUCUCUUUUUUUUUUUUCUUUUUUUCCAAGUCUUUUUGGCAGGCUUUGGAAAAGGCCUGUUUCCUGGCAGGAGGAAAAGCCAGCCUUGGCUUCAAGCAGUCACUGACAAUUCCCAGCAUAUGGUAAGAGAGGGAGCUUCCGCCUACCCCAUCAGGUAAGUGCCAUCUUCCUUACUACAGGCAGCAAUGAUCGAUGUCACGCUUGGAGAGCACUGGCUGCUGGGAGAGGAGCCAAGUGGCCAACUGGCCGAUACAACGGAACAGCUGCCUCUUCAUUUCCUGGUUUGGAGACUGACUCAGAAUUGAAGACAUUAAGCAUUAAAAUUAGCUGAAAAAUAAAGGGUGGAGAUGCGAAUAAUGUCAGGGACUUUGCAUUCUAUUUCUCACGAGCUUUCAAACUUGUUCAACUUUUAAGAAAAGUCUUGUUUAAUACUUGUUGUUCCAGCUACUUUUAGAAGACAUUUUGGAAGACAGGAAGGCCAGAUACUUCAGGCAAGAGGCAUAAUGACUUGGGGCACAGACCACUAAAAAAAAAAAUCAAUCCUGAAUCCCUGAGGCUUCCGUACUCUUGUUGAGAAGGCAGAACCUAGUGUUUCAUCAAAUUUUUUGUGAUAACCAUUGAUGACGUUGCAGAAACCAUGAUAAUGUAAAAUAAUGGAUUAAAUUUGUAUGAGCAUAACUGUAGUGAUGAAACAAUUUAAACUCAUUUCUGAAGGCAUUCAUGCACUGGUGCUUGCUCAGGGUGUGAGCUAGAAGGCCACUAUCCCUUCAAAAUUAGACAGAGAUGUUGAUGACCAUUCUCAGUUAUUAUACUUCUAAAUUACAGCCUGUCCUCAUCCUUGAAGAUCAAAAAGGGAGUAAUUUCUGUUUUACAGGAGAUUACUUGCACUACAAGUCUAACUCUUGUUCACUUUGAGGUACUUAAAUAAAUCUGGAGCCCUGGCUGUAGGACAGACAGACAGUUCCAGUGGGAAAAUCAGCUCUGAAUUUCAUAAUGGGAAUUUCAUUCAUUUUCUGAAUGUGUUCAUCCUUAUCCAUUAGCCCAGAGGACCCAGGACUAGCAGACGCCUUUGAAAUUCAGCCCACUGCCUCAGGUUAGAUUAAAUGAAUCCAUACUUCUGAUCAGCAGAGUUAAAAAAAAAUACAAAACCCAAACCAACCAAAAAGCAUCAACAACCACAUAACCAUAUAAUAAUAUGGAAGGAAAUAAAGGACAAGGGAUAUUUUUAUUUGUGCAGCUGACCAGAUAUUUCCAUCUUUGGAUUGCUCCCUCUGCUGCCUGCAAGGUAGCUGGAGGGGAGCUAGCAAAGCUACCCAGGUGGACUCUGCAUCCCUCUUCCUCGCCCAACUCCCAGCAUUAGAGAUGCCGACAGUUACUAGAUAAAGUUAAAGACUCAUGUAGUGAUCUUCACACUAAUUGGACUGUAAUGUAUAGCCUCGGUCAAGCAAAUCUCUCCCAGCACUCCUCUCCACAGACGACAAUCAAGCCAUUUACAGAAGAUGCAUCGGCUGCUGGGACCCUGGAGUAACCUUAAACUACGCUGGCCUUUUAGCAGAAAACACAAUUAAUUUUGAUACUGAAGGGCAAUUAGGACUGGGGUUAAAAUAAAAAAUCUUCUGAACAGAGAAUGUCAAAGACUGGUAAGGAAACUAUUUCCCUUGUACACAGCUUGUUGAAGGUCUGUAAGCACGGCGACUGUCAGCUCACGUUAAUUCAUAUCACUUUGAAAACCUCUCAUUUCAAUGUAGGAAAUAUAAAUUCAGAUUAAUAAGCACUGUGCUCAAACCUCACUAAGACUGAUGGCUGUUUUCUUUAAGUCUUUUGCUGCUGAAAUGAGCACAGCUUCUCCCUCUUGCUGGGGAAACCUGUUUUACAUCCCAGAAUGUAGUGAAAUGACCAAAUGCAUUUAUUUUGUUCUGUUUCAUUUCUAAAAGAAGAUAGUCUCCCAGAUGACACUCUGCAGAUCACGGCUGAGAGCAAAUCUUGUCAGCAACUCUGUAAACUACUCUUUAGAAAUACAGAAGAUGUUCACAGUAAUACAUAUCUACAAUGCACCCACAUGCCCUGAUGCAUGUGCAAGGCAGCCAAAAUUUUGACCUCGCCUGCACAAACCGCAUAGGUCGAUGCCACUCUCAAUAAGUCAAGCAAAUGCACCAGAUCUUCCAAGUGUAUACUAAGGAGGUUUACCAGCCAGUGGUACCCAUGCAACAAAGUCAUCACAACUCCUGCAACAAAUCCUAUGGCCUUGACUUUGAAAAUCUGUUCCUGCUUUGGUCCAGGCUUAGUAGAGGACUUUCUUUUCUCCAUGACCUCCAAAGUGCUAUCAGAUGUCUGAGGUUCUCUUUUCUGUUUAAAGGACACUCCAAUUUGAAGAGAACUGUUUUCUCAUCUCAGGCUCAGGCAGCCAUCCCACAAGCUUUACUCGGGAAACCACUAACUGAUGUUAGAUUUACACAGUGGGUAGUUUUUAUCUAUGUUUUUCUUAAAAGCAGCAUCCUGGGGGAAUCUCUCAGUGGCAAAACCAGCACAAGCAGCACUAACAGUCAAUAGAGCAUCUGAGGAGUUCGCAGGGUUAAAUCUAUUGUUUCCAGGGUUUGAUUCAAUCUCUAUUUUGUCAACCUGUUUAAGUUCCAGGCCCCAUUCCCACCAGCUACAAAGAAGGGUGAAGAGCCCAGAGUAAACUCAUUUGGGCUUUUUAAGUACAACAUGAUUCAUAUUUGUGUGCAGCCUCUGUCAUGGGCUGUGCUCUGCCCACUGCCAGAAACCAUGUCAUCCUCUCAAUCUUGUGCCAGAGGGGGCAGGUGGACAAGAUAACUUAAUAGCUCUUAUUCAUUUGAAAUUUCUGUGGUUAUAGGGUAGGUCACCUUGUUCAGCAAGGGAGGGAAAGCAUGUAAAUCUUCAGCCCAAACUCAAGCUCUGGUGUAAGCAACUUUCAGAGAAGCUGAACCUAUAAUCCUUCUCUUAUUAUCUUGUAAUUUCUUGGGGGCAUUCCUUUACAGAAGAGCGAUGCAAAGGCUCCAGCAGUAAUGAAAACACAAAACAAAAAUAAUCCACCACGUUCACACACAUGACACGAAAGUGAAAACUCCCACCAGUGACUUGGUGAGGGACAGGAGCAGAUCUGGUCUCUGCAAAGCAUAUGGCUCUGUGUUGGAAAGAGGCGUAACACCGGUUCCCACAUCCAUGCGCAUUUGGGUAAGAGCGCA